rnacentral:snRNA from 14 species
CUGAUACAGAAAUUAGCCUGGCCCUUGCACAAGGAUAACACACAAAUUCAUGAAGAGUUCCAUAUUAAA